AUUAUGGAUGGUAAACACUGCACAGCAGCUGGGACCCCUGCAGGAGUCGAAUGAGAGUGACUGAGAAGAUGUGUCAUAAACGAAUACACCCUCUAGCAUAAAGGGGAAAAGUGCAACAUCAAUCAGUGCGGAAAUCCCAUCCACAGCUGGAGUUCCUAUGCAUUACCCACAAUGUAAUUAGCAGCUAAGAAGAACAGUGAGAGCCGGUCUUCUCUUGGCUUCCUUUCCACGUGCCUGCGG
rnacentral:lncRNA from 1 species